GCCUGGAUAGCUCAGCUGGUUAGAGCGAGGCACAGAUAACGCCAAGGUUGCAGGUUCAAGCCCUGUAUGGGACA